GAUGAAGAACGCAGCGAAAUGCGAUAAGUAAUGUGAAUUGCAGAAUUCAGUGAAUCAUCGAAUCUUUGAACGCACCUUGCACCCUUUGGCAUUCCGAAGGGUAUGCUCGUUUGAGUGUCAUUGUACUCUCACUCUCCCGAUGCUUUUGGAUCGGGAGUGGUGGACUUGGGUGUUGCUGCUUUGCUGUGGCUUGCCUCAAAUGGAGUAGUGCAACUCUUGGUUGGACAUAGUACGGCGUGAUAAGUGUCUUCGCCGGCGCCUCAUUAUAGAGGGUGGCCGAUCGGGAGCUCUGUGCUUCAAACCGUCUUUGGACAACAUCUGACAACUUGACCUCAAAUCGAGUAGGACUACCCGCUGAACUUAAGCAUAUCAAUAAGCGGAGGA
rnacentral:misc_RNA from 1 species